rnacentral:sRNA from 1 species
UUCUAAAUGAAAUAUUUGUUUUAGGUUCAGUUCCGGAAGGUGUCUUAGAGGACAUUAAAGCGCGUACUUGCUUUGUAAGUGAUCUGAAGCGAGGACUAAAAAUCCAAGCAGCAAAAUUUAAUAUUGAUGGGAAUAAUGAGCGUCCCUCCCCACCCCCAAAUGUUGACUAUCCAUUAGAUGGAGAGAAGAUUUUACAUAUCCUUGGAUCAAUCAGAGAUUCAGUUGUGGAAAUUCUUUUUGAACAAGAUAAUGAAGAGCAAUCAGUUGCCACUUUAAUAUUGGAUUCCCUUAUACAGUGUCCGAUAGACACCAGGAAGCAACUAGCAGAGAAUUUGGUAGUCAUAGGUGGCACUUCUAUGUUGCCAGGAUUUCUCCACAGAUUGCUUGCAGAAAUAAGGUAUUUGGUAGAAAAACCAAAAUAUAAAAAAGCACUUGGCACUAAGACAUUUCGAAUUCAUACUCCACCUGCAAAAGCUAAUUGUGUGGCCUGGUUGGGAGG